GACGAAUGCUGGCGGCGUGCUUAACACAUGCAAGUCGAACGGAAAGGCCCUGCUUUUGUGGGGUGCUCGAGUGGCGAACGGGUGAGUAACACGUGAGUAACCUGCCCUUGACUUUGGGAUAACUUCAGGAAACUGGGGCUAAUACCGGAUAGGAGCUCCUGCUGCAUGGUGGGGGUUGGAAAGUUUCGGCGGUUGGGGAUGGACUCGCGGCUUAUCAGCUUGUUGGUGGGGUAGUGGCUUACCAAGGCUUUGACGGGUAGCCUGCCUGAGAGGGUGACCGGCCACAUUGGGACUGAGAUACGGCCCAGACUCCUACGGGAGGCAGCAGUGGGGAAUAUUGCACAAUGGGCGGAAGCCUGAUGCAGCAACGCCGCGUGCGGGAUGACGGCCUUCGGGUUGUAAACCGCUUUCGCCUGUGACGAAGCGUGAGUGACGGUAAUGGGUAAAGAAGCACCGGCUAACUACGUG
rnacentral:rRNA from 1 species